UUUUUAUUUAUCUUUCACUUGUUUCAGUCAUUGGACUGUGGCCAUGCAAGGGUACAACCUCAAAGGGUUUUUUAGCUAAAGAAAUAGA